AUGUUUCCCAAUAUUAAGAAUCAUGCUUUCUAUCAGCUUACUCAAGGAAAUAUCAGUUUAUGGAGUAUGCCUUGGUGUACCCACUGGAAUACUAUUCAUGACUAUCUCAUUCCUCAGCAUUCAUGCCUUGUUUAUCCGUCUUUAGUUAGGGAUCUUUGGAUGGCUGAUAACAAAACUUGGAACCAUCAACUCUUUCAACUUUUCCGGGAGCCGCUGGCUUCUCAUAUCAUUAAUACUGACAUUAUUCAGGAUGAUAAUGAUGAUUUGCUUUGUUGGCCUUUAGCGAAGAAUGGUAGUUGUUCUCCUAAAUCUGCUUACAAUUUUUUGCUUACAAAACAUUCAUGCCCAUCCUAG
rnacentral:rRNA from 1 species